UACGUAGGGGGCAAGCGUUAUCCGGAUUUACUGGGCGUAAAGGGAGCGUAGACGGCGAAGCAAGUCUGAAGUGAAAGCCCGGGGCUCAACCGCGGGACUGCUUUGGAAACUGGUUGGCUAGAGUGCUGGAGAGGUAAGUGGAAUUCCUAGUGUAGCGGUGAAAUGCGUAGAUAUUAGGAGGAACACCAGUGGCGAAGGCGGCUUACUGGACAGUAACUGACGUUGAGGCUCGAAAGCGUGGGGAGCAAACA
rnacentral:rRNA from 1 species